UACGUAGGGUCCGAGCGUUGUCCGGAAUUAUUGGGCGUAAAGGGCUCGUAGGCGGUUUGUCACGUCGGGAGUGAAAACACGGGGCUUAACCCCGUGCCUGCUUCCGAUACGGGCAGACUAGAGGUAUGCAGGGGAGAACGGAAUUCCUGGUGUAGCGGUGAAAUGCGUAGAUAUCUGGAGGAAUACCGGUGGCGAAGGCGGCAUCCUGGACCGGCAUUGACGCUGAGGAGCGAAAGCUAGGGGAGCGAACAGG
rnacentral:rRNA from 1 species